rnacentral:rRNA from 1 species
GACGAACGCUGGCGGCGUGCUUAACACAUGCAAGUCGAACGGAAAGGCCCUGCUUUUGUGGGGUGCUCGGGUGGCGAACGGGGGAGUAACCCGUGAGUUAACUGCCCUUGACUUCGGGAAAAAUUCAGGAAAAUGGGGCUAAUACCGGAUAGGAGCUCCUGCUGCACGGUGGGGGUUGGAAAGUUUCGGCGGUUGGGGAUGGACUCGCGGCGUAUCAGCUUGUUGGUGGGGAAGUGGCUUACCAAGGCUUUGACCGGUAGCCGGCCUGAGAGGGUGACCGGCCACGGUGGGGCUGAGAGACGGCCCAGACUCCUACGGGUGGCAGCAGUGGGGCAUAUUGCACAAGGGGCGGAGGCCUGUUGCAGCAACGCCGCGUGCGGUAUGGCGGCCUUCGGGUUGUAAGCCGCUUUCGCCUGUGACGAAGCGUGAGUGACGGUAAUGGGGAAAGAAGCACCGGCUAACUACGUG